UAUUUUUUCUUUCUCAAAUCGCGUAAACCAUUAACCUUUCCGAGUGCCUCUUCUUCUCUGUCGGUUAACGGACCAGUGGAAGACCCACGGACGAUUGGUUUCUUCCCCUCUCCCUCGAACUUUCCGCUGAAGAAAUCGACAAAAUCCUUUUUCCCAAGCCGUGCGAUCGUGUCUAGACGAUUUCUGUUUGUUUUGAUUGUUCUUUUUUUUUAUUUGCAUUUGAUAUUGUUUCCCUUUGCAAGAGCUUAGCUUGUGUGUGAUUGAUUCUUGGGUGUUUAAUUUGGUGUUCUUGAGGAUGAAUCAGGUGUCCAAUUGAAUCCAGAAAUUCUUUUUAUUGCAUUGAUUGAUCUGAUUUUCCCCCUUAAAAAAAUCAUGGCAUUGUAUGAUCGAAUCCUAAGUGGGUUUUCUUUGCUCUGGGGUUGGUUAUGAGUUUUAUUUGCUGAUAGUCGCUUCUUUGAUAAAAUUCUUCAUUAUUCGCACCAUUCCCCUAUGUUGACAUUUUUUUAAAAAAAUCUGAACUCUAUUGUGUUAAUUGUUGCUGGGUUGUGAAACCAGGUUUGGAGAGUAACGAAGAUAUCAUGACGGUGCCUCCCGCCUCUGGUAGGAAGCACGUAUCAAUGAUUCGUCUAUACCGCAUUAAGGCCAUGGGCGAAGGUUGUGUAAGAAAGAUGUAAGAGCCAAGCAAAUAGUGAAAACAAGAGUCAUAAAAGUUUAAAAUUUUGAAUCUGUUCAGGAAAGAAUGCAUAUUAUUUGCUAUAUAUUCUGGAUGAAAUCACUAUUGCUGAGUUUUUGUGAUCAUUAAGCACCCCGUGAUUAAUCCAGUCAAAGGAUUCUGAUUCUUUUUAUUUAUGGCCAUACAACGUUUCAAUUGCUGAAAAUGUAAGGGAGUUUUUGCAUUCUUUAGUUAUGGAUCUUAUGAUGCUUAUGAUUUAGCUAUUAGUUUAUUCAUUUCAAUUUUUUACUUUUUUUGGACUAUUUUUCAUUCUCAGUUCUCCUACUUUUGAACGUUCGACUAUGUAAUGCCAGCGGCCCUUAGUUGUACUGUUUCUUGCUUUCACUGAAUUCAUUUCUUAUGAAAAGGGGAAAAAAUGGAGAAAGAUUUUAAUGUGCUGUCAAUGUGGUCAAGAUUUGCGCCUAUAUUACUAUCAUUUAUAAUUUUAUUGAAUUAUAUUUGUUUAUAAGUUUCAAUGUUCUCUCUUCCUGUAGAUAAUUUUGAAGAAUAAUUGUCCUGACUUUAAUUCCCUAUAAGGAUGUGAAGCAUCUGCAUUCAAGAAUUGCGUUAGUGCGUCUGAUUUUCGUGAAGAUAUAUCUAUGAAAUAAAUUCAAGAGGUUAUAUGGAAUAAAAAGUUGUAAGAGCUAAUGAUCUCUCUGUACUAAAAUAUUUGGGACCGCCAACCCAUAUCCAUUUCCCUGAAAUUAUUCAAUUGUCCACAAACAUUCCACACUAGAACCUGCUCAUUUUCUUUUAGGAUUCUAAUCCUGCUCAUAUAUUGCUCACAUGGCUAUAUGGAUUCUACUUAUCUAAUGACAGGUAUAACACCGUUGGAUGGAGCCUUUCUUGCUGAUGCUUACUUGGGAAGAUUUUGGACAACAUCCGGUUUUGUAGUCUUCUAUAUCUUGUAGUAAACAACCUUCUUCUUUUUUGUGGUUUACUGCUCCGAGGGAGUGUGCCUGGAGGAUGCUAUAACCAUUAGCCAGUCGGAGGUCACAAAUAGGGCCAAAGUCAUGCGCAUUGCCACUCAAGGUUGCAUCAAGGGGGUGGAAGAGGUUCUGGCUGCAUAUCAAUCCUCCUCCUGAUCGGGUUCGCAGCUACUUUUCCAGACAGGGCCUUUGACAACCAGAUAAAUGUUUCUACCAAAAUCACCACAGAACACAUUACCAGAAGCCCAAACCUCAAGGAUUUCCCCAUCCUCAUUUAUGUUAUCUUCAGGAUGCCAAAUGGGUUGAGAGAAUUCGAUCUCUAUACUCAGAUGGAAGUAUUUGAUCCAGCGUUAUCUUCUAUAGAUAGAAAAAUCCAAAUUUUCUAUCAUAUUACAUUUUUUUAAUGAUUUUGUAAGAUAUGAUAAAAUGUGUAGACAGUAUGUGUGGUGCAAUCACUAUUAUGUUAUAUUUACCAUUCUAGAAUACUAGGUUAUUACUUUAUCUCACUAUAGUAUUCUUUCA